GAUGAACGCUGGCGGCGUGCCUAAUACAUGCAAGUCGAGCGAACAGACGAGGAGCUUGCUCCUCUGACGUUAGCGGCGGACGGGUGAGUAACACGUGGAUAACCUACCUAUAAGACUGGGAUAACUUCGGGAAACCGGAGCGAAUACCGGGUAAUAUAUUGAACCGCAUGGUUCAAUAGUGAAAGACGGUUUUGCUUUCACUGAUAGAUGGAUCCGCGCCGCAUUAGCUAGUUGGUAAGGUAACGGCUUACCAAGGCAACGAUGCGUAGCCGACCUGAGAGGGUGAUCGGCCACACUGGAACUGAGACACGGUCCAGACUCCUACGGGAGGCAGCAGUAGGGAAUCUUACGCCAUGGGCGAAAGCCUGACGGAGCAACGCCGCGUGAGUGAUGAAGGUCUUCGGAUCGUAAAACUCUGUUAUUAGGGAAGAACAAAUGUGUAAGUAACUAUGCACGUCUUGACGGUACCUAAUCAGAAAGCCACGGCUAACUACGUG
rnacentral:rRNA from 1 species